GCAGUCGCCGCGGGAAUACGAAGGGGGCUAGCGUAGUUCGGAUUUACUGGGCGUAAAGCGCACGUAGGCGGAUCGAUCAGUCAGGGGUGAAAUCCCAGAGCUCAACUCUGGAACUGCCUUUGAUACUGUCGAUCUGGAGUAUGGAAGAGGUGAGUGGAAUUCCGAGUGUAGAGGUGAAAUUCGUAGAUAUUCGGAGGAACACCAGUGGCGAAGGCGGCUCACUGGUCCAUUACUGACGCUGAGGUGCGAAAGCGUGGGGAGCAAACAGGAUUAGAUACCCCCGUAGUCCCUGUCUCUUAUAC
rnacentral:rRNA from 1 species